UACGGAGGGUGCGAGCGUUAUCCGGAAUUACUGGGUUUAAAGGGUGCGUAGGCGGCCCUGUAAGUCAGGAGUGAAAGUUUGCGGCUCAACCGUAAAAUUGCUUUUGAUACUGCGGGGCUAGAAUUAGGAUGAGGUCAGCGGAAUGUGGCAUGUAGCGGUGAAAUGCAUAGAUAUGCCAUAGAACACCAAUUGCGAAGGCAGCUGGCUAGACCUGGAUUGACGCUGAGGCACGAAAGCGUGGGGAGCAAACAGG
rnacentral:rRNA from 1 species